rnacentral:rRNA from 1 species
UGGGGAAUAUUGCGCAAUGGGGGAAACCCUGACGCAGCGACGCCGUGUGAGGGAAGAAGGCUUUCGGGUCGUAAACCUCUGUCGGGAGGGAAGAACCUUCCAGGUCUGAACAAGGCUUGGAACUGACGGUACCUCCAAAGGAAGCACCGGCUAACUCCGUGCCAGCAGCCGCGGUAAUACGGAGGGUGCAAGCGUUAAUCGGAAUCACUGGGCGUAAAGCGCGCGUAGGCGGUCUUUUAAGUCGGACGUGAAAGCCCUCGGCUCAACCGGGGAACUGCGUUCGAAACUGGGAGACUUGAGUCCUGGAGAGGGUGGCGGAAUUCCGGGUGUAGGAGUGAAAUCCGUAGAUAUCCGGAGGAACACCGGUGGCGAAGGCGGCCACCUGGACAGGUACUGACGCUGAGGCGCGAAAGCGUGGGGAGCAAACA